CAGCAGGCCAGGCACCAUCUAUGGGAAAGAGUACAGUUGACGUCUUGGGCCGAGACCGUUCGGUGAAAACAGAAUGUAAAGUCAGCAAACAAGAAAUUAGUUGGCCUUUGGACUUUGCAUUCAAAGUGCAUUGUCAGGCAAAAUUAUCAGAAUCACAAACAUGAGAAAAUCUGCUGGUGCUCGAAACCCAAGGCUACAGAAUGCUGGAGGAACUCCACGAGUCAGGUCAAGAUAUAAAGGUCAAGGUGCAAAUCAGUAGGAACACAGUUGCUAACGAAGUGGCCAGUUUUGCGGGUAAGAAGAGAUCAGAAAAUCAACAAAUUUAACAUUGCUGGUCAGGAAACAAGAAAGGGAAAAAUGAACAGAGAGCUACUGAUGUUGAUGCAAGUGGAUCUCAUGCUCAAGCAUGUCUUGUUAGAUUUCUAAAAUGAUGCAAAACAACCUGAAAUUAGUUUUCAUUUAUUAUGUGCCUGAAAAAGAAGUAAAUUUCAAUUGUAUAAUUAUGAAUAAUAAUUAUAUAUUUUAAAAUAUAAAAUGAAAGGUGAUUAAAUAUUAGUUAAUACAGUUUAACUAAUAAAUUGCAAUGACUUAUUAAUGAUUUCCAUUUUGAAAUCCUUUGAGUAAAAGCUUAUGGAAUACUAUGAUAACAGAGGAAGUGCAUAGAUCUUCGGAAUUACAAUUGGCAAAUGAGGUGGACGAAUGUGAGUGUCUUCCCUGUAUCCUUAUUUUAAAUGAGGAAAACCAUCCGUGUGCAAACAUCUUAUAUCACAUUCUAUUGCAGCACAACAGUGAAAAAUUAUAUUAGUGUGAAUUGUACUUCGGUGUUGUAGUAAAAUGGCAAAUUAUCCAUAAUUUGUAUAAGAGAAAAUCAAAUUAUUACCUUUGAAUUAAUGUGCAUUGCUGCAGCUGAAUUAUUAAUCAUGGUCAAGUACAUACAGUAUCUUUGCAUCUGUUUUACAAAAAAAAUACAGUAUGUGGUCUAUGUUAAUUAAAUACUUUUACAAUGUAGACCAUACUUAACCAGUCUGAUUUAUUGUUUUAUAUUAAUUUGGAACAAUAAAAUAUUAAAUAUUUUAUUUAUUGGCUCUGGGAAUCUGCCCAUGUUAAAAGCACCAUAAUUUCUUCCUAAAUACUAACUAAUGCUAUCUAAACAUAAAUUUUAAUUAAUUCUUCCUUCAUAAAAAGUAAAAGCUAUUUUUAUUGUAAAUGACUGAAUAAAUUAUCAAUAAGUAUUGUAUAAUUGAUUUUGUCGAAUACCCAGCAUCCACUCUAACACUGUUUGCCUGGGCUAUUUAACAUGACUGAUUAAUUGUUUUGAUUUGUUAAUUUGCAUUCUCAUUCCAUAUCUAUAUCUUUUACAUCAUUUUCAUGAAAGUGAAGUUGAAAUGUAAUUAUCUAACUGCUUAUUUCUGAUUAACCCUUUGAUUGUCAUUCUUCACUAUUCCACACAUUUUAUGAAAUAACC